GUCUGUACUAGCCAGUUUAAGACGAGAUGGCGUAUUGAGUGUUUGGCGUAAAUAAAAUUGUAAACAAAAACAAAUCGUUUCAUUUAAAACUCGUGUUGUCGAAUAAUUGUAUCUGUAAUUAAAGUUGUAUUUGUAUCAGUGAAGAAGAAGAACCUGGAAUAAAUGCUGUCUCUUCAGUUUAAGACAUGAAUUGGACACGCCGUAAAAGAAAAA